AGUGAACGCUGGCGGUGGGCCUAACACAUGCAAGUCGAACGGCAGCACAGUAAGAGCUUGCUCUUACGGGUGGCGAGUGGCGGACGGGUGAGGAAUACAUCGGAAUCUACUUUUUCGUGGGGGAUAACGUAGGGAAACUUACGCUAAUACCGCAUACGACCUACGGGUGAAAGCAGGGGAUCUUCGGACCUUGCGCGAUUGAAUGAGCCGAUGUCGGAUUAGCUAGUUGGCGGGGUAAAGGCCCACCAAGGCGACGAUCCGUAGCUGGUCUGAGAGGAUGAUCAGCCACACUGGAACUGAGACACGGUCCAGACUCCUACGGGAGGCAGCAGUGGGGAAUAUUGGACAAUGGGCGCAAGCCUGAUCCAGCCAUACCGCGUGGGUGAAGAAGGCCUCCGGGUUGUAAAGCCCUUUUGUUGGGAAAGAAAAGCAGCAGGUUAAUACCCCGCUGUUCUGACGGUACCCAAAGAAUAAGCACCGGCUAACUUCGUG
rnacentral:rRNA from 1 species